rnacentral:rRNA from 1 species
AUUGAACGCUGGCGGAAUGCUUUACACAUGCAAGUCGAACGGCAGCACGGACUUCGGUCUGGUGGCGAGUGGCGAACGGGUGAGUAACAUAUCGGAACGUAUCCAAUAAUGGGGGAUAACGAGUCGAAAGAUUCGCUAAUACCGCAUACGCCCUACGGGGGAAAGCUGGGGACCUUUGGGCCUGGCGUUAAUGGAGCGGCCGAUAUCUGAUUAGCUAGUUGGUGAGGUAAAGGCUCACCAAGGCGACGAUCAGUAGCUGGUCUGAGAGGACGACAAGCCACACUGGAACUGAGACACGGGCCGGACUCCUACAGGAGGCAGCAGUGGGGAAUUUUGGACAAUGGGCGCAAGCCUGAUCCAGCCAUUCCGCGUGAGUGAAGAAGGCCUUCGGGUUGUAAAGCUCUUUCGCAAGGGAAGAAAACUUAGCCACUAACAUUGGUUGAGGUUGACGGUACCUUGAUAAGAAGCACCGGCUAACUACGUGCCAGCAGCCGCCGUAA